rnacentral:rRNA from 1 species
GAUGAACGCUGGCGGCGUGCCUAACACAUGCAAGUCGAGCGAAAAGACGAGGAGCUUGCUCCUUUGACGUUUGCGGAGGACGGGUGAGUAACAUGUGGAUCAUCUCCCUAUCAGACUGGGAAAAUUUCGGGACACCGGCGCUAAUACCGGAUAAUAUAUUGAACCGCAUGGUUCAUUAGUGAAAGACGGUUUUGCUGUCUCUUAUAGAUGGAUCCCCGCUGCAUUAGCUAGUUGGUAAGGUAACGGCUUACCACGGGAACGAUGCGUAGCCGACCGGACGGGGUGAUCGGCCACACGGGAGCUGAGACACGGUCCUGGGGCCUACGGGAGGCAGCAGUAGGGAAUCUUCCGCAAUGGGCGAAAGCCUGACGGAGCAGCGCCGCGUGAGUGAUGAAGGUCUUCGGUUCGUAAAGCUCUGUUAUGAGGGAAGAACAAAUGUGGAAGUAACUAUGCACGUCGUGACGGUACCGAAUCAGAAAGCCACGGCUAACUACGUG